GGUUUGGUGGUCUAGUAGUAUGAUUCACCCUUAGGGUACCCUGUACAAGGGCACAAUUUGGGUGAGGUCCCGGGUUCAAUUCCCGGCCAGACCC
rnacentral:tRNA from 1 species